rnacentral:rRNA from 1 species
UACAGAGGGUGCAAGCGUUAAUCGGAAUUACUGGGCGUAAAGCGUGCGUAGUCGGCUAUUUAAGUCGGGCGUGAAAGCCCCGGGCUCAACCUGGGAAUUGCGUUCGAUACUGGAUAGCUAGAGUUCGGCAGAGGGAAGCGGAAUUUCGGGUGUAGCGGUGAAAUGCGUAGAUAUCCGAAGGAACAUCAGUGGCGAAAGCGGCUUCCUGGACCAGAACUGACGAUCAGGCACGAAAGCGUGGGGAGCAAACAGG